CCUACGGGAGGCAGCAGUGGGGAAUUUUGGACAAUGGACGAAAGUCUGAUCCAGCCAUUCCGCGUGCAGGACGAAGGCCUUCGGGUUGUAAACUGCUUUUGUACGGAACGAAAAAGCCUUGGCUAAUACCCGGGGUCCAUGACGGUACCGUAAGAAUAAGCACCGGCUAACUACGUGCCAGCAGCCGCGGUAAUACGUAGGGUGCGAGCGUUAAUCGGAAUUACUGGGCGUAAAGCGUGCGCAGGCGGUUUUGUAAGACAGAGGUGAAAUCCCCGGGCUCAACCUGGGAACUGCCUUUGUGACUGCAAGGCUAGAGUGCGGCAGAGGGGGAUGGAAUUCCGCGUGUAGCAGUGAAAUGCGUAGAUAUGCGGAGGAACACCGAUGGCGAAGGCAAUCCCCUGGGCCUGCACUGACGCUCAUGCACGAAAGCGUGGGGAGCAAACAGGAUUAGAUACCCUGGUAGUCCACGCCCUAAACGAUGUCAACUGGUUGUUGGGUCUUUGCUGACUCAGUAACGAAGCUAACGCGUGAAGUUGACCGCCUGGGGAGUACGGCCGCAAGGUUGAAACUCAAAUGAAUGACGG
rnacentral:rRNA from 1 species